ACGAAUUCGCCCUUAGAGUUUGAUCCUGGCUCAGGAUGAACGCUAGCUACAGGCUUAACACAUGCAAGUCGAGGGGAAACGAUAUUGGGAGCUUGCUUCCGAUAGGCGUCGACCGGCGCACGGGUGAGUAACGCGUAUCCAACCUGCCCACCACUUGGGGAUAACCUUGCGAAAGUAAGACUAAUACCCAAUGAUAUCUCUAGAAGACAUCUGAAGGAGAUUAAAGAUUUAUCGGUGAUGGAUGGGGAUGCGUCUGAUUAGCUUGUUGGCGGGGUAACGGCCCACCAAGGCUACGAUCAAUAGGGGUUCUGAGAGGAAGGUCCCCCACAUUGGAACUGAGACACGGUCCAAACUCCUACGGGAGGCAGCAAUGAGGAAUAUUGGUCAAUGGGCGAGAGUCUGAACCAGCCAAGUAGCGUGCAGGAUGACGGCCCUAUGGGUUGUAAACUGCUUUUAUAAGGGAAUAAAGUGAGUCUCGUGAGGCUUUUUGCAUGUACCUUAUGAAUAAGGACCGGCUAAUUCCGUGCCAGCAGCCGCGGUAAUACGGAAGGUCCGGGCGUUAUCCGGAUUUAUUGGGUUUAAAGGGAGCGUAGGCCGGAGAUUAAGCGUGUUGUGAAAUGUAGAGGCUCAACCUCUGCACUGCAGCGCGAACUGGUCUUCUUGAGUACGCACAACGUGGGCGGAAUUCGUGGUGUAGCGGUGAAAUGCUUAGAUAUCACGAAGAACUCCGAUUGCGAAGGCAGCUCACGGGAGCGCAACUGACGCUGAAGCUCGAAAGUGCGGGUAUCGAACAGGAUUAGAUACCCUGGUAGUCCGCACGGUAAACGAUGGAUGCCCGCUGUUGGCCUGAAUAGGUCAGCGGCCAAGCGAAAGCAUUAAGCAUCCCACCUGGGGAGUACGCCGGCAACGGUGAAACUCAAAUGA
rnacentral:rRNA from 1 species